rnacentral:rRNA from 1 species
UGGGGAAUAUUGGACAAUGGGCGCAAGCCUGAUCCAGCCAUGCCGCGUGUGUGAAGAAGGCCUUUUGGUUGUAAAGCACUUUAAGCGAGGAGGAGGCUACUUGGAUUAAUACUCUAGGAUAGUGGACGUUACUCGCAGAAUAAGCACCGGCUAACUCUGUGCCAGCAGCCGCGGUAAUACAGAGGGUGCGAGCGUUAAUCGGAUUUACUGUGCGUAAAGCGUGCGUAGGCGGCUUCUUAAGUCGGAUGUGAAAUCCCUGAGCUUAACUUAGGAAUUGCAUGCGAUGCUGGGAAGCUAGAGUAUGGGAGAGGAUGGUAGAAUUACAGGUGUAGCGGUGAAAUGCGUAGAGAUCUGGAGGAAUACCGAUGGCGGAGGCAGGCAUCUGGCCUAAUACUGACGCUGAGGUACGAAAGCAUGGGGAGCAAACAGG